CCUAGAAAAUCCACGUUGAAGCUUUCAGGCCGGACGCGUGCCGCCGCCGCCGCCGGCGACUGCGGCAGCGCAGAGGACUUUCAACAUGGCUCUGAGGCGGAAAAAAAGCAAAUAUAAAGAAGCGAAAAGCGCGCGCUAUCAUCGUCCAAUCGGAGAUACAGGAGAGAGAGAAGCGGCGUUUAUCAAAGGAGGGCGGUACUUUUCUUAUAUAGGGACUUUAUGUGCGAUAACGUCUGCAUGGUCUUUGCUGGGUUCGUCUGCCAGACGUCUGUCUGCUUGGCUGCUGCUUGGUCAUGCCGACCAUAGUCAAGUACUGCGGGAAUUACUGCUGUGUUGCGAGGUGCAGUAACAACGGCAGGACAGGGAGAGAGCGUGGUUGGCUGACAACUGCAGCAAGAAAAGCAGACCUACUUCUAAGAUGAAGGCUACCUCUGGCAUCUUGCUCCUUGUAAUACUUACAGCAUUGGCUGCCAUGGUCACUGCAACUGAAGAGAGAAACGACGUGGCAGGUCGUGGAGGCGGUUAUGGAACGGGAUGCCCAGACGCCGCUGCCUGCACAGCAAGCUGCAAAAGCCGUGGUUUCCUGCUAGGCGUGUGCCUUGCACCUCUACUGCAAGUCUGUUUGUGCUCAUAAUGUAUGAUCGAGCCCGUCAUCAGCCAGCAAUAAAGGUCGCUUGCA